GAUGAACGCUGGCGGCGUGCCUAAUACAUGCAAGUCGAGCGAAGCGGGGGCGGGUGAGUAACACGGGGAUAACCGCAUAUAAGACGGGGAAAAAUUCGGGAAACCGGAGCAAACCCGGAUAGUUAUCGAUGGAUACGCGCUGCAUGAGCUAGUUGGUAAGGUAACGGCUUACCAAGGGAACGAUGCAUAGCCGACCUGAGAGGGUGAUCGGCCACACUGGAACUGCGACCCGGUCCAGACGCCUACGGGAGGCAGCAGUAGGGAAUCUGCCGCAAUGGGCGAAAGCCUGACGGAGCAACGCCGCGUGAGUGACGAAGGUCUUCGGAUCGUAAAACUCUGUUAUUAGGGAAGCGGUACCUAAUCAGAAAGCCACGGCUAACUACGUGCCAGCCGCCGCGGUAAUAC
rnacentral:rRNA from 1 species